rnacentral:rRNA from 1 species
GUACACUCCUGCGGGAGGCAGCAGUGGGGAAUAUUGCACAAUGGGCGCAAGCCUGAUGCAGCCAUGCCGCGUGUAUGAAGAAGGCCUUCGGGUUGUAAAGUACUUUCAGCGGGGAGGAAGGCGAUAAGGUUAAUAACCUUGUUGAUUGACGUUACCCGCAGAAGAAGCACCGGCUAACUCCGUGCCAGCAGCCGCGGUAAUACGGAGGGUGCAAGCGUUAAUCGGAAUUACUGGGCGUAAAGCGCACGCAGGCGGUCUGUCAAGUCGGAUGUGAAAUCCCCGGGCUCAACCUGGGAACUGCAUUCGAAACUGGCAGGCUAGAGUCUUGUAGAGGGGGGUAGAAUUCCAGGUGUAGCGGUGAAAUGCGUAGAGAUCUGGAGGAAUACCGGUGGCGAAGGCGGCCCCCUGGACAAAGACUGACGCUCAGGUGCGAAAGCGUGGGGAGCAAACAGGAUUAGAAACCCUUGUAGUCCCA